rnacentral:rRNA from 1 species
UACGGAGGGUGCGAGCGUUAAUCGGAAUUACUGGGCGUAAAGGGUGCGUAGGUGGUUUUUUAAGUUAUCUGUAAAAUCCCUGGGCUUAACCUGGGCAGGUCAGAUAAAACUGGAGAACUCGAGUAUGGGAGAGGGUAGUGGAAUUUCCGGUGUAGCGGUGAAAUGCGUAGAGAUCGGAAGGAACACCAGUGGCGAAGGCGGCUACCUGGCCUAAUACUGACACUGAGGCACGAAAGCUAGGGGAGCAAACAGG